CUCCCCGCCGCUCCACUCACUCGGGCCGCCCAUCUCUGGCCUCUUCAGUGCCUGUUCCGGGCCCGGGGAGAGCACGUCCGGGGUGCCCGCCUCCGCGCGGGCAGUGGGACCCUGUGUGCGAGGGAGCCGCUGCUCAGGGGACUGCGGGACAGCUCCCCGGGCAAGGGCGGCGCUGCUGGCUGCCCGGCGGGCGACCACGUGAGGGAGCCUGGCCCCGCCCCCGCCCCGGCCUCGCUCGCUGCCGGAACCUUUGGCUCCAGGCCGGGUUUCCGCGGCCGCUGGGUGUCCCCGCGCCAGCCCCAGCCCCGCCAUGGCGGCGGAGGGGAAGGAUCCGCUCGGCUACUUCGCGGCCUACGGCGGCGACAGCAGCAGCUCCAGCUCGGACUCGGAGAGCGACGAGCCGCGCGCCGCCGGGGGAGAGGCGGCCGGGGCUGCUGGGGAGGCGGCCGGGGGUAGCCCGGGCCGGAAGCCGCGGCUGCCCGGGCCCGACGAGCUGUUCCGGAACGUGUCCCGGCCGCCGUCCUUUCUCUACAACCCGCUCAACAAGCAGAUCGACUGGGAGCGCCGGGUCGUGCGGGCGCCCGAGGAGGUGCACUGGGAGGAACAUGAAGGCAGAGCCCUGCAGCUGGACUGGUUAACAGUAGGAGUCAGUAUUGUGGGCCUCCUAAGGAAUUCAAAGUGUGGAAGAGUAAUGCAGUACCACCACCUGAGAUUUACAGUAUUAAGGAAAAGAAGCCACCACCUCCUGAGCUUGAUAUGGCAAUAAAAUGGUCCAACAUAUAUGAGGACAAUGGUGAUGAUGCUCCACAGCAAACAAACAAAGUUAACUUUUUACCAGAAGAGGAGCAAGAGCCUUCAGAAUCAGAUGAUGAAAAAGAUGAACCAGCUUCUGCUAAGAAACGCAAACUAGACACUGGAGAAGAGACUAAGAGGAAGAAGUAAUAAGCAGGACGAACUGCAUUUGGCCCCCUAUGGAGACCUAGUGAACUUUGAUUCCUCUGCUGAAAUGGGAAACAAAUACAUUUUCACCUAACUUAUAUCAUAUGUUGUUUAGAUAUUUUUUUAUUUCCAUAGAAUAUUUGCCACUUGGAAAGCACAAGAGUUCAUGGAUCAGUAUUGUGAUAAAACUUGUAUCCACUGAACAAAAAUUAAGUCCAUGUAAUCAAUUUAUUUAAAACACAAUCUUUUAAAGUAUUUGAUGAAUAUUUGUGCUCCUACAGGUUAUAAGGCUUUGUGGUAUUCUCUUUAUCCACAGACUUGUGAUGUGAGCUUUUCUCAGCUGACCUGCCAUCAUGCUAAAACCUUUUAUAAAGGAAGAUAUUUUUUAAAAUGUUGUUUUAAGUAAUGUACUGUGGUACAUGUUUAAUCAAUAGUUUUGAAAUGUAUGUAAAGAGUGUAAAUACGUAGGUCAUCUGAAAUUAAAACUUCAUGUGAAAAUGUAUAUAGCUUAGCUGUUUAAUAUGUAAUGUAAUGGACAAAUUCUAUACUGUGUGUGUUUUAGCAGUAUGUUAGACACACUUGAUAGAUUCUUCAAGGUUUGAUGUGUAAUAAAUUGAGAGUUACGGCUUCAUUUAGGACACUGCCCUUCAAAAAUGUACUUGAAAA